GACGAACGCUGGCGGCGUGCUUAACACAUGCAAGUCGAGCGAUGAAGCUCCUUCGGGAGUGGAUUAGCGGCGGACGGGUGAGUAACACGUGGGUAACCUGCCUCAUAGAGGGGAAUAGCCUUUCGAAAGGAAGAUCAAUACCGCAUAAGCUUGUAGCUUCGCAUGAAGCAGCAAUUAAAGGAGUAAUCCGCUAUGAGAUGGACCCGCGUCGCAUUAGCUAGUUGGUGAGGUAACGGCUCACCAAGGCGACGAUGCGUAGCCGACCUGAGAGGGUGAUCGGCCACAUUGGGACUGAGACACGGCCCAGACUCCUACGGGAGGCAGCAGUGGGGAAUAUUGCACAAUGGGGGAAACCCUGAUGCAGCAACGCCGCGUGAGUGAUGACGGUCUUCGGAUUUGUAAAGCUCUGUCUUCAGGGACGAUAAUGACGGUACCUGAGGAGGAAGCCACGGCUAACUACGUGCCAGCAGCCGCAGUAA
rnacentral:rRNA from 1 species